UAUGAGUAAUGCAUAAGUCAAAAUAUUGCAACUAAAACUACUGGAGGAAAAUAAUAAUGUAGAUUGUAGAUCUCAUUCUCUAUCCAAGAAGGGAGGUAUUAAAUACCGCCAACAAAAAUUAUCAAAACCGCCAACUUUUUAAGCGAAAUGUCAUUAUUGCCCUUACUAAAAUACUAAACCCAAACCCAUCUUUCUCCUCUUUCUUUUUUCUCUCUCAUCAACAACCCCUCAAGAUCCCCAAAAACAACCACCACCACCACCACCACCACAGAGACAAUCGACAUACCAGUCAGCGGCGUUCAAGAAGUGGUGGCGCGUACAUGGGUGACGGUGGUUGACGGUGGGGACAUGGCUGGAAACCGGGGAAGGAGAUGGUGGUGGUUGACGCGGUGGUUGUGGGUUUGUAGUGGUCGACAUGGUGGUGUGGGUGGUACCGGUGGUGUGAUUGGUGGUGGUUGAUGUGGUUGCUUUAGAAGAGGUGGAUGGAAAUCACGGAAUGAAGUUAAGAGAAAGAAUAUGGGGAAGAUUUCAACUUAUUUAGACCCCAACACACACACACACAUAAUCGAUAAAAUAGAUUUGUGUUGAGCAUGUUAGGCAUCAAGCCAAGUUCGUUAAGUCUAUUCAUCUAACUAAUUUGAAUACAUUUAUUUUUUAUUUUUUAUUUUUACUUAAAAAAAAAGGGGGUUAAGUAAUUAGGUUAAACAUGUCAAGUCGGCUUAAAGAUUCUAAUUUGCAGACGUAAACUAGUCAAUUUCAUGUUAGGAUUAUGGCAUGAGUUAUAUAAACUGGUUAAGCCAAACCUAACUUGACCCCCUGUUGCAAAUCCUACUAUAUCAAAUAAUUUCAAUUCAUUAUUUUUCAUCUUUCCUACAACUAUAAAGUCUUACUCACCUUUCCAGAGUUCGUUAAGAUUAUGCUCAAAAGUCUCAAAUCCAUCAAGAAAAUUACAUGUUAGUCGACAGUGUGUUAUUGCAUUAAAUUGCAUAUACAAUGAAUUUAGUGGCCAAAGUUGGGAAAAAAUUGCAACCUUAAGAGGUCAAAAUAUUGCAAAAACAUGGAAAAAUUGAAUGAAGAGAGUUAUAAGAAAAUCAUGCAAUAUGGAGGACCACAAUUUAUAAUUGAUGCCAAAAAAAAAAAAAAAAAA